rnacentral:tRNA from 1 species
CGCGGGGUGGAGCAGUGGUUAGCUCGUUGGGCUCAUAACCCAAAGGUCGGAGGUUCAAAUCCUCCCCCCGCUACCA